UACGGAGGGGGCUAGCGUUGUCCGAAGUUACUGGGCGUAAAGCGCGCGUAGGCGGGUUGGUAAGUCCGCUGUGAGAGCCCGGAGCUUAACUCCGGAGGGUCGGUGGAUACUGCCAGUCUUGAAGGUGCUAGGGGGAGAUGGAAUUACCGGUGUAGCGGUGAAAUGCGUAGAUAUCGGUAGGAACACCAGUGGCGAAGGCGGUCUCCUGGGGCAUUCUUGACGCUGAGGCGCGAAAGCUGGGGGAGCAAACGGG
rnacentral:rRNA from 1 species